rnacentral:tRNA from 1 species
UCUAAUAUGGCAGAUUAGUGCAAUGGAUUUAAAUCCCAUUUAUAAAGAAACCUUUCUUUUUUUAGAA